AACAGGUUUACUGGAGUAAGAACAAAGGUUACAACACACGUUCAGUUCCAGGACGCGAUCUCAAUCGGUGACUUUUGUGGUGAGCAAGCUGCCAAGGUAUAGUUUGUAACAAUAAAGGCGAAGUUACUUCAGGAAAACCUACUGGUUCAAAUUGAACGAUGCUAUUGUGAGUACUAUUAAUAAAACAAAUCCAUUCUCAUUCCUGAGCAAUCUUCAUCAUACUUCUUUUCACUAUUUACAAUAUGGGCAGAUAGAAAAAUCGAUAGAAAAAUAUAACUACAGGAUUUAAGAAUGAUAACCAAUAUUUUUACAAUAAUAUUUUGAUAAAAGUCAGUUUUACCAGGGAAUUUGUGACAGGCUAAUUGAACAAAAAAAUUGAAAACGGUCGAGUAGUUAAAAAUUUCUCCAGUGGUCUGGAGAAAAGAGAACGAGCGAUACAGAAAGCUCUAGAAAGAGUUUAAAUAAAAAAAACACAGAUAUUUUAAUGUGUUUCUUCAUACUAACGAAAAUAAUAUGCUAUUGGUAAAUUAGAUCGUUGAUGGCUUCUUUUCGCUUCUUGCAAAAACUCAUGCUUUAUGGAAACUCUGAGUCGAUACAAUUAUUGUUCAUUACUAUACCAGCUGAUAUGGGAUUGAUUGUUUGUCCGACAAACUCAUAAACACACAUGAUUUCAGCUACAGUGACUGGGAAAGCUAAGGAUGUCCUGGGAUCCAACCAGGAGUUCUCGGUGCAUGCUUACACCUUUGCGCUUUAUCAAUAGGGGAAAAACGUCUACUUACUUAGCACCUUUUUCUAUGCGAAGCUGGUGCAGGAGAACUCCGUGGCUAACAUGAGGCACAAGGCGAAUGAUGAUCUGCUUGCAAAAGACAUGUGGUUCAUCCCCAUUAAUACCGGAACGCACUGGUCAGGCCUGGUAAAAGAGCUAUUGAAAAAAGACCUCUACUACAAGCCAACGAUUUUAGUUUAGUUUAGAUUAGUUAUUGUUAUAAAUAUUAUAUUGUUAUUGUAUUAUUAUAUAUAUUUUUUUCAUUGUACCAAGCAAUACAUCGAUCCUUCACUCCUGUACUCUUAAUAUAUCUGACAUUAAGCCACUUAAACCUCCGGCUUUGGCUCUUCCCAUGUAUGUUAUCACCAAGUUUUACCAAUAAAAUUGAUUGAUUGAUUUGA